UAAAAAUAAAUUAUAACAUUUCCAUUCUCAUUGUUAUUUCAUAAAAACAAUAUUUGAAAAACAACACCGCCCUUAUGUUUUUGCAAUUGUGUAUUAAAAUAGAAAACAAACACCCCUAUUUGCCGCCAAUCACAUGUAGCCAAAUUGUAUAAUAACAUGUGGCCACAGAGGAAGCAUGUUUUUUACUCGAGCGUUUAACACGUGUUAUGGAAGGUUAUCACAUGCUUGCCAUGUUUUGAGUAGUGGACACACUUCCACUUUUGUUUUGCACAGGGUGUUCACCGAUAAAAUUUUGCGGAUUGAAUACUAAUUCAUAUCUGAUACAUAAUUUUACAGUUUAUAAAUUUUAAAUUCAAUUUAAUCAAUGAAUUGAUAAAAUUUAAUUCAAAUUCAAUCUAUACGUCUGAGGAUCGGAUGCGAAUUUAACCUAAUUCAUAACCAAUCCACCAU
rnacentral:lncRNA from 1 species